CCCUUGUCGCUAGUUACAAGUGUCUAGCGAGACCGCUGGUAUUAAACCAGAGGAAGGUGGGGAUGAUGUCAAGUCAGCAUGGCCUUUAUAUCCAGGGCUACACACACGCUACAAUGGGUAGUACAAUGGGCAGCGAAGGGGCGACCUGGAGCGAAUCCCAUCAAAGCUAUUCGUAGUUCGGAUUGCAGGCUGCAACUCGCCUGCAUGAAGCCGGAGUUGCUAGUAAACGCAGGUCAGAACACUGCGUUGAAUACGUUCCCGGGCCUUGUACACACCGCCCGU
rnacentral:rRNA from 1 species